GGGCCCGCACAACGGUGGAGCAUGUGGUUUAAUUCGAUGAUACGCGAGGAACCUUACCAGGGCUUAAAUGUAGUGGGACAGGUCUAGAGAUAGACCCUUCUUCGGACUCAUUACAAGGUGCUGCAUGGUUGUCGUCAGCUCGUGCCGUGAGGUGUCAGGUUAAGUCCUAUAACGAGCGCAACCCCUAUCGUUAGUUGCCAGCGGGUCAUGCCUGGAACUCUAGCGAAACUGCCGGUGCAAACCGAGAGGAAGGUGGGGAUGACGUCAAAUCAUCACGGCCCUUACGUCCUGGCCACACACGUGCUACAAUGGCCGGUACAGAGAGCAGCCACACCGCAAGGUGGAGCG
rnacentral:rRNA from 1 species